ACAAAGCGUCUCAAGCAGGAACAAAAAGAAAAAGUAAAAGUCCUAAUACAGAUACAAAAAACAAAAAGCCUAAAUUUGAUACAAGCCCUAAAAGACCUGCCACCCACACUCAAGCUACCACCGCAAGAAGGCUUACGAGAAAAUCCAAGAGAUUUGUUCAGCCCUAAAAGACCUGCCAUCCCUAGAGAGAGUUUGUUGAGGCAUCUCCAGGUUGAAGCUAACUUAAGUCUCAUCUCCUUUAUACUAGGUCCAGGAAGCAAAUUACUACUGGGAUUGCUUGAGGAGCCAGCUGCAAGUGAAAAUAUUUGGAGAUUUAAUAUUCAAUGGAUCAUGGAGAUAAAAGUUGGAUGGGUCUCCGAAGAUCCACAGAUGAGUAUAGUCGCUGAGUGAAUGAUUUUCUUGAUAAGGCAUUUGAACGGGCUUCUCAAGACAAUGAAAUAUUAUGUUCUUGCAAAAAAUGUGCUAAUUGUUAUUGGCGCAUUAGAAAUGUGGUAGAGGAUCACUUGGUUGGUUAUGAAUUUAUUCAAGGAUACACCAAAUGGAUUUCCACGGGGAAAAGAUUUUCUCGAGAAAUAAUCCACAUCCAAGUAAUGGUGAUGAAGGUUCCAACAUGUAUGAUGAUAUUGAUGGACUACUUCAUGACACUUUUAGAAAUAUUGAGGGUGACAUGAGGCAUGAAGAAGGUGUGCGAGAGGGACCAUCUGAAGAUGCAAAGAAAUUUUUUAAAUUAGUGGAGGAAGGAAAACAAGAGUUAUAUCCGGAAUGUGAGAAUUUUUCAAACUAAGUUUCACCAUUCGAUUGUACUUAAUCAAAUGCAUUCAUGGCUUGAGUAAUGUGGCUUUUUCAGACUUGUUAGACUUGUUAAAAGAGGCAUUUCCAUUUGCUAAGCUACCCGAGUCUUUUUACAAGGCAAAAAAUAUGAUAAAAGAUUUGGGUCUUCAAUAUGAAAACAUACAUGUGUGCCCUAAGGAUUGCAUGCUUUUUUGGAAUGAAAAUGAGAAGAAUGAUAAUUGCUUUGUAUAUGGAACUUCUAGAUGGAAGAAUGUUGUUGAUGGCGUGACUGCUGCAAGCUCAUAGGUUUUAAGGUACUUUCCCUUAAAGCCUAGACUUCAGAGGAUAUUCAUGUGCUCUGAACCAGCUGCAGCUAUGAGAUGGCAUGCUACUGAAUGACCCAAUGAUGAGAUUUAAAACAUCCUGUUGAUGGGGAAGCGUGGAGGAAUUUUGAUUUCUUGCACAAGGAUUUCUCUUGGGAUCCUUGUAAUGUUAGAUUGGGUCUUUCAAGUGAUGGUUUUAACCCGGUUUGAACCAUGAGCAUUUUUCAUAGCACAUUGCCCGCUAUGCUAAUGAACUAUAAUUUAUCACUAUAUAUUUGCAUGAAGCCGAAGUAUAUAAUGUUGUCAAUGAUCAUUCCGGGUCCUUCUUCACCAGGAAAUGAUAUAGAUGUGUACUUACAACCACUAAUUGCUGAAUUGAAGGAACUAUGGGAAACAAGGGUAGAAACAUAUGAUGCUAAAUUUGACCAAAUAUUUCAAAUGCGUGCAGCCUUGUUGUGGACAGUUAGUGAUUUUCCAGCACUAGCAAUGCUUUCCGGAUGGAGCACCAAGGGGAGACUGGCAUGCCCGACUUGUAAUUAUGGCACAUGCUCUCAGUAUCUCAAACAUAGUUGUAAGAUGUGUUACUUGGGUCAUCGGGCAUUUUUGCCUCCUGAUCAUCUAUUUCGAAGAGAUAAGAAAUCAUUUGAUGGUAAAGAGGAUCAUAGAACAGCACCUACUCCCUUGUCAGGUGUAGAUGUGUCAGAAGAAUUGCGUGAAUUUAAUCAUGUCUUUGGAAAGGGUCAAAAGAAACAACGUCGGGGUAAUGAGGGUCCAUGGAAGAAAAAAUCAAUCUUUUUUGAAAUGCCGUAUUGGGCACAUAACAAAUUGAGACACAAUCUUGAUAUAAUGCACAUCGAGAAGAACAUAUGUGAUAGUUUGCUUGGUACUUUAUUGGAUAUGCCUGGAAAGUCAAAAGAUCAUGUAAAUUUCUCGCUAUGACUUGGAAGAGAUGGGGAUACAAAAAGAGCUUCAACCAUUAAAAGAUAAGGAUAAUAAAAAAGUUUAUUUGGCUAAAGCUUGUUUCUCCAUGAAACAGAAGAGAAAAGUUGUUUUGCACUGUUUUAAAAAAUGUGAAAUUACCAAAAGGGUGUGGGUCAAUUAUAUCACGACGUGGGUAAGUGGAGAAAAAGAAAGUAUCAGGGUACAAGAGUCAUGAUGCUCAUUUUAUCAUGCAUUACUUGCUCUAGAUUGCAGUUAGAAAAGUGUUGCCCAAGAAUGUUUCUUUGGUCUUGAUUAGGUUGGGGAACUUCUUUAGAGCCAUAUGUAGCAAAGUUAUAAGGCGAAGAGAUGUUGAUAAAAUGCAAUCUGAAAUCAAUGAAAUUGAAUGUGACCUUGAAAAGAUCUUUCCUCCAACUUUUUUUGACAUAAUGGAAUAUUUGCCUAUCCAUUUAGUAGAUGAAAUUAAGCUUGGGGGUCCGACUCAUUUACGUUAGAUGUAUCCUAAUGAGAGAAAUCUGUGUAAUUAUAAGGCAUUUGUUCGUAAUUGAUAUCAUUCAGAAUCGUCAAUAGCGGAGGAAUUUUUGGCCGAAGAGUGCUUGACCUUUUGUUCGAGAUACCUACAUGAUGAGGUAAAAACAAGAUUUGGCAGGUAUCAAACAGAAGAUGAUGAAGGGCUUGAAACAGAGGGAGAUGAUAUGUCACCUAUAUUCCCUAAGAUAGGCCAUCCAAUCAGAUGUCAGAAGAAAAACAAAGGCAAUGCAUUUACCAUGGGUUUACAAUUAUGUUUUGAAGCACAUCGAUAUGUUCUGUUCAAUACCGGAUAUGAACAAAUGGAGAUAUUUAUCCAGGAACAUAAGAGUUUAAUUGAUAAUAAUACAAGAUCAAAUGCAUGGAUUAGAGAACGAAAUCAUAGUUAGGAAUUCGGCAACUGGUUCUAAGAGAAAGUUAAAACUUUUGAAGUGCCAAAUCAUUUACAAUGGCUAGCCAAAGGGCCAAAUAUAGUUGCAAAAAGAUAUACUGGAUAUUUCAUCAAUGGAUACCGAUUUCAUACGAUGGAACGAGAUAGCCGAGUCAAGACUCAAAAUAAUGGAGUGACUUUGUCAACAAAAACUGAUAGUUUAGCUAGUCCUAGAGAUUCAAAUCCUAUCGAUGGAGAGGUUAUCUAUUAUGGAUCUAUUCGGGAUAUUAUUGAGAUUGAUUAUUGGGGUUGUUUUAGUAUUUUAUUGUUUAGAUGUGAUUGGUUCCAUAAUGAAAUAGAUGAAUAUGACUUAACUCGGGUAUGCUUCAACAGAUUAUGUAGUGUCGAUGACCCCUUUGUAUUGACAUCUAAAGUGCAUCAAGUUUUUUAUGUGGAGGAUCCAAUAGAGAAAGAUUUUUAUUACCCAAGAAACAGAGUCCUUAAUAACUUGUAUGAUUUGGAGGAAGAGUAUUAUGAUAAUAAUACAGACACAUUUUGGAGGGAGCUUGAUGAUGACAUUGGUUCAUUAGUUAGAUUACCUGAUGUUGAUGUUAUAUAGUCGAGAGAAGAUAUUCAUAGUGAUGUCAUUGAUAUGCCAUCUCAUGCAGAGCUUUUACAAGAUACAAAUAUAGAAACAUCGGAAGAAGAGGAUGAUAUUGAUGAUACUAAUUGGGAUUGGAUAGAUGCUGAUGAUUGAAGAGUAAUUUCUGAACUUUUUUUAAAAUUACAAAUAUGAAAACUUCAGAAGAGUUCUCUUUUGCAUUUUCUUCUAUUCUUCUUUGUACCGUCACUUUGAAAGAAAAUGGAAAAGAAUGUUAUUUGAUAUUGCUUCUUUGAUUGUUCUAUAAUUUUAUUUGAAUGCAAUUUUCUUUGCCUGUUGUGUAAUUUUGGAUCGUAAAUCAAGUAUUUUUCUUCACGUCAA